rnacentral:lncRNA from 1 species
ACUUUCACUGAAGGCUUGGAAGAGCCUCUAGGGCUUCCUGGAGGAGGUGUUUGCCCUAAAUGAAAACUAGGUGUAUCCAGGGUCAGUUGCUGCCUUCAGCCAGAGCAGAAGCAGAGAGACGGGCAGAGGCAGCUACAGAGGUGACAGAUCACCUCGUCUGUCCCCGAUCCUGUCUCUUCUUGGCCCCUGCUCUUCCAGGAAGUCUCUGCUCCAAGGGAAAGCAGAGUACAGAUAUGAAAGGCUCAUAGCAACCACCUCCAGCCUGGUCAAUCGCGGGCAUCUUCCUCCCCAACCCCGCAGUUUGGAAAAGAGUCCACUAGGUGGCGAUAGAACGAUGACAUCCUCAACUCCAUCAGUUAUGUUAGCAGAUGUUUGCAGGUCAGAGGCUCGGUACAAGGUCGGGAAGGACCAGCAGACGGAGCAGCGAGGC